UGACGCUUAAACACGAAAGUGUGGGGAGCAAACGGGAUUAGAUACCCCCGUAGUCCACGCCCUAAACGAUGUUCACUUGGUGUAGGGAGCCUAUAUAUCUGGGUGCCGAAGCUAACCCGUUAAGUGACCCGCCUGAGGAGUACGCCCGCAAGGUUAAAACUCAAGAGAAUUGACGGGUGCCCGCACAAGCGGUGGAGCACGUGGUUUAAUUCGAUGAUAAGCGAAGACCUUCACUUGGGCUUGACAUACUAGUGGUAAGAACCGGAAACGGUGAUGACCCUUCCUUCGGGUUGGGAGCUAAUACAGGUGAUGCAUGGCUGUCGUCAGCUCGUGUCGUGGGAUGUAGGGUUAAGUCCCGAAACGAGCGCAACCCUUGUCACUAGUUGCCAGCGGAUAAUACCGGGGACUCUAGUGAGACUGCUGGUGAAUAGCCGGAGGAAGGCGGGGAUGACGUCAAGUCAUCAUGUCCCUUAUGCCCAGGGCGACACACAUGCUACAAUGGGAGGUACAAAGGGUUGCAAUACCGCAAGGUGGAGCCAAUCUCAAAAAACCUUCCCCAGUUCGGAUCGAGGUCUGCAACUCGACUCCGUGAAGCCGGAAUCGCUAGUAAUCGUAGGUCAUCAGCUGACGGUGAAUACGUUCUCGGGGCUUGUACACACCGGCCGUCAUGCCACAGCAGUUGGGAGCACCCGAAG
rnacentral:rRNA from 1 species